AUGGCAUGGUUGACCUUAAUCAAGAUGACUGAAUUAUCAGGGAUAUUAUUCAACUGGUGACUUCCAAGUGUGCUAGCACCAGAAUAGUUAUUACUGUCGGAGAGUGGCGAAACUGGCAACGGAGAUUUCUGAGUGAGCCUAUAUGCACUAUGAUUCUAUGAGACAGUAGCUUUCUUAUGGGCCUUCACUCAAAAACCCAGGUGGAGCUUUGGUAUUUAACAGAGAUAUGGAGUUUUAAAUCCAUUAGGUUUUUCUGCAUAGAAUGAGAAUGCCCAGCAUGAAACUUCUAUGUAUCAAAGACCAUCAUGUGUUGUGAGUCAUGUGAGAACAUCUGCAUGGAUUGAUGAUAAACCCUCAGCCUUGUCAUGUACACACAGCCCUGAAUGUUAAUGGAACUGCAACACCUUCAGAAAUCAACUAUCACGGCUGUUGUGGAGAUGGUGUGCCAGUGACUCUUCCCUCACAUUUGUGUUCCUCAGUGGAUGUGUUUUAAAAGUUCUGUAGUCUACAUUGAAAGCAAUGGGACCAUAAUCAGCUGAAACCUAAACACAUAUUAUUUUCUUUAACAAUUAUUGUUUUAUUUAUAUCCCCCCUUUCCUCCAAGAAGCUCAAGUUGGCAUACAUGGUUCUUCCCCAUUUUAUUCUCAUAACAACCCUAUGAGGUAGGUUAGGUUAAGAGACUGAUCCAAGAUCACCCAGCAAACUUCAUGGUUGAGUGGGAAUUUGAACCUGGUUUGCCAUAUCCUAGUCUGACAUUCUCAUCACUACAUCACACUGGCUUGGCUUGGGAUGUUGGACAUCAUGUCUUUUACACUGUCCUUGCAGAAUGAAGCAAAGCUCCACUCAUCAUUUGUGCAUUCAAGAUGGUUUCAAGUCUCAGAUGGGUAUUCCAAGAAACUGGAUAGCUUGAGACUAUUCUGUUCCCAGCUCUGCUACAGUGCUGAAUCUACACAGUAUAGUAGAUGACUUUACACGUUCUGCCUUAGACCACUAUUGGAUGGCAGUAAUCUUGAAUUAAUUUACAACCAACCUUUUCUAUGUCUACUCACAAGUAAUUCCCAUUAAAUUUAAUGGGAUCUACUCUCAGGUAAGUGAGUGCAAGAUUGCAACAUUACAGUGACUUCCUUACAGGAUUGCCAUCCUUACACUGUAGUUACUCCAGAGUGCUCUGAUAUUUACUUGAGAGAAAAUGUGCAUAAGAUUGCAGCCCUGCACAUUCUUAUUCUAAUUUGUUUGUUCUAUUUAAUAUCAUUAACUACUACUACUACUGUCUCAAAUAGUACCUUUUUUGCUUAAAACUUGUUUG